GGGAGCGGGCACCCGAAGUCGGCCUGCAGGGGCAGGCUUCAAACCACCGGUGCUGCUGCGUUCAAAAAGCUCGGCGGUGGCGUGCCACGACCGUGUCUGCAUUCUCUGGG
rfam:Burkholderia xenovorans LB400 chromosome 3, complete sequence.